rnacentral:rRNA from 1 species
CGCGUAGGCGGUCUUGUCGGUCAGAUGUGAAAGCCCAGGGCUCAACCCUGGACGUGCAUUUGAAACAGCAAGACUUGAGUACGGGAGAGGAAAGCGGAAUUCCUGGUGUAGAGGUGAAAUUCGUAGAUAUCAGGAGGAACACCGAUGGCGAAGGCAGCUUUAUGGACCGAUACUGACGCUGAGGCGCGAAGGCGUGGGUAGCGAACAGGAUUAGAUACCCUGGUAGUCC